GACGAACGCUGGCGGCGUGCUUAACACAUGCAAGUCUACGAGAAAGAGGUAGCAAUAUCUUUAGUAAAGUGGCGUACGGGUGCGUAACACGUAAGCAAUUUACCUUUGGGUCUGGAAUAACUUCGAGAAAUCGAGGCUAAUACCGGAUAAUGCAGCGGCACCGCAUGGUGAUGUUGUUAAAGUUUGUGUAAUGCCUAAAGAUGAGCUUGCACCUGAUUAGCUAGUUGGUAGGGUAAUGGCCUACCAAGGCAACGAUCAGUAGCUGGUCUGAGAGGAUGAUCAGCCACACUGGAACUGAGACACGGUCCAGACUCCUACGGGAGGCAGCAGUGAGGAAUAUUGGGCAAUGCCCGCAAGGGUGACCCAGCAACGCCGCGUGGAGGAUGAAGGCCGUAAGGUUGUAAACUCCUGUUAGAGGAGAAGAACAGUACCGAUUGGAUCGGUAUUUGACUGUACCCUCAGAGAAAGCCCCGGCUAACUACGUGCCAGC
rnacentral:rRNA from 1 species